rnacentral:rRNA from 1 species
ACGUUACCCGCAGAAGCAGCACCGGCUAACUACGUGCCAGCAGCCGCGGUAAUACGUAGGGGGCUAGCGUUAUCCGGAAUUACUGGGCGUAAAGGGUGCGUAGGUGGUUUCUUAAGUCAGAGGUGAAAGGCUACGGCUCAACCGUAGUAAGCCUUUGAAACUGGGGAACUUGAGUGCAGGAGAGGAGAGUGGAAUUCCUAGUGUAGCGGUGAAAUGCGUAGAUAUUAGGAGGAACACCAGUUGCGAAGGCGGCUCUCUGGACUGUAACUGACACUGAGGCACGAAAGCGUGGGGAGC